GACUGCUUGGAUAAAUCCCACCAGGGCCUCAUCACGUCACGAUACUUCUUUGAAUUACAGCAGAAAUUAGACAAAUUACUCCAGGAGGCUCAAGAGCGAUCAGAGAGUGGAGAACUGGCAUUUAUCAAGCAACUAGUUCGAAAGAUCCUAAUAGUUAUUGCUCGUCCUGCUCGCUUGUUGGAGUGUCUGGAAUUUGAUCCUGAGGAGUUUUACUAUCUUCUGGAAGCAGCUGAAGGCCAUGCUAAAGAGGGACAAGGUAUUAAAACAGACAUUCCUCGAUAUAUUAUUAGCCAGCUGGGCUUAAAUAAAG